rnacentral:rRNA from 1 species
ACAAGCGGUGGAGUAUGUGGUUUAAUUCGAUGCAACGCGAGAACUUACCUGGUCUUGACAUCCCGGAGACCCUUAGGAAACUAGGGGGUGCUUCCAUCUGGAAGAAUCUGGAGACAGGUGCUGCAUGGCUGUCGUCAGCUCGUGUCGUGAGAUGUUGGGUUAAGUCCCGCAACGAGCGCAACCCUUGCCUUUAGUUGCCAGCAGUUCGGCUGGGCACUCUAAAGGGACUGCCGGUGUUAAACCGGAGGAAGGUGGGGAUGACGUCAAGUCCUCAUGGCCUUUAUGACCAGGGCUACACACGUACUACAAUGGCCGAUACAAAGGGCAGCGACACUGCGAGGUGAAGCCAAUCCCGUAAAAUCGGUCUCAGUCCGGAUUGGAGUCUGCAACUCGACUCCAUGAAGUUGGAAUCGCUAGUAAUCGUGGAUCAGCAUGCCACGGUGAAUACGUUCCCGGGCCUU